rnacentral:rRNA from 1 species
AUGGGGGGACCAUCCUCCAAGGCUAAAUACUCCUGACUGACCGAUAGUGAACCAGUACCGUGAGGGAAAGGCGAAAAGAACCCCGGCGAGGGGAGUGAAAAAGAACCUGAAACCGUGUACGUACAAGCAGUGGGAGCACGCUUAGGCGUGUGACUGCGUACCUUUUGUAUAAUGGGUCAGCGACUUAUAUUCUGUAGCAAGGUUAACCGAAUAGGGGAGCCGAAGGGAAACCGAGUCUUAACUGGGCGUUAAGUUGCAGGGUAUAGACCCGAAACCCGGUGAUCUAGCCAUGGGCAGGUUGAAGGUUGGGUAACACUAACUGGAGGACCGAACCGACUAAUGUUGAAAAAUUAGCGGAUGACUUGUGGCUGGGGGUGAAAGGCCAAUCAAACCGGGAGAUAGCUGGUUCUCCCCGAAAGCUAUUUAGGUAGCGCCUCGUGAAUUCAUCUCCGGGGGUAGAGCACUGUUUCGGCAAGGGGGUCAUCCCGACUUACCAACCCGAUGCAAACUGCGAAUACCGGAGAAUGUUAUCACGGGAGACACACGGCGGGUGCUAACGUCCGUCGUGAAGAGGGAAACAACCCAGACCGCCAGCUAAGGUCCCAAAGUCAUGGUUAAGUGGGAAACGAUGUGGGAAGGCCCAGACAGCCAGGAUGUUGGCUUAGAAGCAGCCAUCAUUUAAAGAAAGCGUAAUAGCUCACUGGUCGAGUCGGCCUGCGCGGAAGAUGUAACGGGGCUAAACCAUGCACCGAAGCUGCGGCAGCGACGCUUAUGCGUUGUUGGGUAGGGGAGCGUUCUGUAAGCCUG